UGCGUCGGCUUUCUCAGCAUCGGUGGCUGCCACUUUAUUCAUCCAUGACCUACAAAAAUCGCCGGCCUUCGCGUAGCCAGUUUUCAGGUCGAACAUGUCAUGGAUCAACUACAGAUAGAAGAUAAGUCAGGUUAAAAAAAAAGAAGAAGAAAGAAAAAAAUUAUUUCGAUUAUCAUCGAGUAAAAGGAUGAAAAUAUCUCGGCCACCGUCCAUUUUUCUGAUGCUCCCGAUCAACUGGAAGAAGAGCGGCUUGGCACAGUCGCUUGGCCAAUGUUGGAUUGGCCAGGACCGAUUCAUCAUC
rnacentral:lncRNA from 1 species